CAGUAUUUCUAUAAUUAUAAAUAAAAAUCUACCCUUGGAGAACUGCAGACAAAAAGGGCAUUUUCAAGCAGGAGUGCAAAAUUCAAUCAUUCUAAAAUACUGAAAAACUCUUAACUAAUGAUUCUUGUCUGUAUCAAACCCUCAGUGUGAAUCAUGUGUGCACACUGAGCCGCCAGUUGAUCAAAAGACAUGUUCAUAGAGAGAACCCUGCUUCUCUAAACAUUUCUGUGCGACCAUAAACGAAACAGCAGUUCCUCCUCACACUCUCUCCUGCCACCUCCUCUGCUUUCAGUCUGCCUGAGAACCUCCCACAGCUGAUGGAUCCGUCUCCUCCAUCAGACACCUGCGAGCCUUGACGCUGUGUUUACUGGCACUCCUAUCGUUGUGUAAACACUGUCUCAGACCUGCAACCUUUGGGUUCAGGGUAAGGACGAGGCAACAGGAUGGAUGAGGCAGUAGACACCGUGGCAGAGGAACACAGACGUCGAUGGGAACGCUGCCGUAGGAACAGCUGCAACAACAGCCACUCACCUCUGAGACGGCGUCGCAGGUGCCUGACCCCGAGUGCACCGCUGUGGGACGGUUCACUGAAGUUCAACCGUGAACUUUUAAACUUAGGCCUGAAGUGGAUAAAAAAAUGUAUUUAUACUGGAAGUCAAGUGUAAUUAAAAAGAGCUCUCUGCCCUGGAGCCUGAGUGUAAUCUGCUGCAGGAGUGUGUGAACAAAGUGGUAGACUCCGACUCGGACCGUGUUUUCUCAGGUUUUAUCUCCCUCCUCUCCCCACAUCACCUACAGCCUAAAUCAAUAUUUUAUCCUUGAAUAACAGCAGGUAACAAAACGGAGUGAGUUAAUGAUGUUUUAACUUCUGUCGACUCAGCAGGAGCAGUACAAAUACCAGGAACUUGAUUUUUGGCUGAGGUUUCAGAGACUGUGAAUGUAUAAAAAUUUGCUUUUGUUCGAACUUCGACUUCAAUAUUUCAUACAUUUAAAGUCAAAUAAGAUCAAGAAAGUUAAAGGCAAACUAAAAAAAAACUCAGUGGUUAUUUUUCUACAAAUCAUUAAUUUAACUGUAAAAAUAUCUGAAGGCAUUUCGUCCAUCAGAGAGUUUCAUGUUUGUAGAACUUUGGAAAAGGUGUCAAUAUUUACUUUUUAUUUUAAGCUUCAUUAGCUUGAAAAGAUGGAUGGAUGGAUGGAUGGAUGGAUGGAUGGAUGUUUAGUUCAUGACUUCCAGCCUGGUCUGAGUCCUUUUUUUUUUUUUUUAAAUACCACGGGGGGCAGAUCAGCCUGGGGUCUGUCAGCAGGAGGUCCUUGUAGAUCAGAUUUUGGUUAUUGUGUUUGCAGUAACACAGGACAAUGAAACACUGAGACUGGCACAGAGUCUGCAAAGAGACAGCGAUGAUGUCAGUUUUGGACGAAUUGAAGGUUUUCUUGCACAAAGACAAACAUCUGCAGAGUGGCAUUUCUUUGAACCCGGAGAAGAGAACUGUCAUGUCGUGAACAUGUAGAGAGAGCAGGAGGCUAACGCUAACGGCUAGUGGAGGAUCGUCACAGUCUCAAAAUCAAACAUCUUUUGGACUUUAUUCUGUUAGUAUCAGAGCUGCCAAGUGCCAGAUUCUUUUUUUAAUUAAAAAGUAAAGGGGUAUGACUGGAUUAUUUUUUUGAAAAAAGGAAUCCAUAAUCAGUAAAUCUGAGUUAGAGUUCUGCUGACUGUGUGUGUGUUUUUGUGUUUGUGUUUGGCUGAAUGUUGACUCACUAAAAAUCUGACCUUCACCAGACAAUGUUCACCCACAUCUGUGGGAAUUGGCCCUGACCGACCUGUAAAGACUGGAUGAAGAUGCACAACAUAGUUGUAACCUAUGCACAGCGGACGUCAUCGCCGUAGCGACGCCCCCUGCAGGAGCCGCCGCUCUACCCUCAGAAAUAUUGACGAGGCUGAAAAGAAAUUUAGACACAAAGAGGAAUUUGAUCUGCACAAUUGAAAGCUGGGGUUUUGUAAUAGCAGCUGGCAGUUGUGUUGCCGUUGUUAAACACCAUGACGGAGCGGCUGACAUCAUUUCUUUCAUUAGAGCUGAGCUAAACCCAAACAAUAGGCGCUCCAAUGCUGUUUGUUUGACGUAAUCUGCUGUUGCUGGCAUUUAGCGGUGGCGCCGUUCCAGAGAAAUAAUUCAAUGAAUCACGAUGAUUGGAAGCGAAUGCUUCAUCAAUCCUGUUUGCGGAAACCAGCGGUAAACGAGCGGCUCUGGACGUGCUCCGUCAGGGCCUGCGAGUUAUAAAACUCCUGCCUUGAUAUAAUCCAUCCCACUUGGAGAUGUCCAGGAGGAGCGAAGCCAAAACCAGGUCUUGAUCUACCCUCACAUUUCUGCCUGGACUUUUACUGUAUUUCUGUCAGUGGAAAAAAUAAAAAAUAAAAAAAUCACAGGUUUGAAAAGCGCUCUGGCUCAGAGAAGGCAACGCCACAAAUGGAUUUUAACGUCAGUCUUUCCUGGACCAGGAGCCGGAGAGAGCAGCGCGUCCGUCGACCCGCGCUGAUAAUGAGGACGUACGGCGGCGUCUGCGGUGGCGUCUGCUGUUUGGUUUUUCGUAGCAGGGAGCGGUCUGCGGAGGUUCUGGUUCAGGCUCAGAGGUCAUGCUGCAUAGCUCUCUGAAUCCAAUUAAGACUGUGAGGGGCCCAAAUACUUGUUUUUAUGUGUUCUCUGUGCUGGCGGCCGGGCCUGGGUGUGGCGCGGCCUGCAGCGAGGUGAAGUUAAGAACACAAACACAUUCCACCUCAACGUCCCGACGACCUCUGAUGGACCAGAGCCACGUCCACUGGACCACAGUGUCAGGACGUCCCUGUCCACUCUGUACCUCCCUCACCCCUUCUUACUCUUUCUUUUGUAUUUACUCUCUCUCUUAUUUUCUUCCUAAUGAGCGCUGUCUUGCAGACUUGAGCUUUUUACCAACUCCCACAUCAGAGAUAAUGGCUCCCCGGCCGCAGACCUCAUUACAAAAGAUUUACAUCGAUCCAGCGGCCAUAUUUAGACUCCAUUAGAACCAGGGUUGGAAAUUCACUUUUAACUUCCCAGACAAGUUCACAUUUGGGGACGAACUUUAGACGGAGUUUAAAAUGAUCUUUUGGACAAUUUCACCGUUUUUUUUUUACUUUUAUUUAUUUAUUUAUUUAUUUUUGGCAACUAAAGUUUUUUUAUUUUCUUUUUUCCCUGUCUUUUUAGAUAACCUUUAUGUAUGUUUGGCAAACGUACAUUAAUGCUAACUGUUGAUAUCAUUUAGCUAUCUUUCACAUGUGCUUGUGGCUAAUUCAUAUUCUUUUAGCCUUUUUCGCUCUUUUUUUUCUUUUUAAUUUUUUAGGUUACAUUAGUUGACAACUAACUUGGAGGAUAGCAUUUAGCUAUUAAUGACUUACCCGUAGUUAUCUUUAAACUCACUUCUAUUUAUCUUAGGCUAACUGUGUUAGCUUCAGAUACAGAUCAACUUCUUCGUUGGAUUUUAUGAGCAGCUCAGCUGACUCUGAGUUACACUAGUGCCACCUGCUGGGCCUGUUUGAAAUGGGAAAACACUUCUGCCUUCAAGCUUUGUUAUAAAAAAGAAACAAAACUAAUGUAGCAGCAAAAGGACUUUCUACUUUGACUUAAAUAUUUUAAAUGUAAAGAUUCUAUUUCAGUGCAAAAAUUGGAGCAGGAUAGAACACCAGGUGAGGUGUUUGUCAGGGGUUCAUGACACGUCGUGUUCUCUGUGUGAUGAAGAGGUGGAGAUGACGAAGAGCUACUCAUCAGAGUUCUGUAACAAACUCAUCACGGAGGAAACGUCGUUCUCACUCUGUUUUCCCACCUUUGUGUUUAAGAAGUGAAAAAUGUGGCGGUAAUUCUGUGUGUGUUAAUGAGCUGGGAGACUUGAACUCCUGCUGGUUUGGAAUGAGGUCCAGGUUCGGCAUCUGCAGCCGUUAAAGAGCGGGAGG